CAGCAGAAAGGGCAUGGGUGCUUACAUCAGAAAAACUUGGGUUCAUAUUCCAGCCGUCAUGCUUAUGCCAGCUAUGUUGCUUGAUCUCUCUAAGCCCUGAUUUCCUCAUCUUUAAAAUAAAAACUCUUUAUCUGUUCACAGAGAACUGUUGUGAAGAUUAAAGCAGAUCACAGAGACUUAAAGCUCUUGAAAAAAAAAAAGAAGAAGAGAAUCAGCCUUUUGGUCAAUAGAACUGUGCUUGAGAAGGUUUCCAACCAUUGCUCCCAUUGGUUUUGCUGAUGAAAUGAAAGUUGCCAUUGCAACUAGCCACCUUAUGGAAUUUAUCUAUUCCUACACUGAAAGUUGAUUGUAUUGAUCUCUUUUCAAGCAGAGGAAAGGCUGACGACAUGUUGAUCUUUUUCAUUGGUUACGAUCUCGGCGAUACUGAACAUGUGUCCUACAAGUUUCCCUACUGGCUUGGUGCUGAUAUUGGGGUGCCACAACCGGAUGACCUUAUCAUCUCCUGAAAAGGAGGACAGGGAAAGAUUGUUGGUUUUCUGAGGUGGUCAGAGUUUCAAAUGUAUCUCUCACUGUAUCAUACCCGUAUCUUUCUUCGAACAGCAAAUCACAGUCCGUUUCUGGCAGGAUGCAUUAUUCUGUGAUUGAUGUGCUAAGGGGCUGGCCUUGGUUUGGAUCUGCUGCUUCUUGUGAAGGCUGUUUUGUAAAGACUGUAUUUACAUACACAAAUGUGAAUUCUCAUAAAUAUUUUAUGAGUUCUUUUCUUGACUCAAUCCUUUCCUAUACUUUGAUGCAUUAAUGUAUUAUUUAUACUUUAUUUACUUCCAAAGAUAUUUAAGGCAGCUGUUCUUUUGUUUUCAUUCUUAAAUUAUGCAAACAUUAUAAUAAUGAAAGAAAUCAAGGACAGAGGAAACUGCACUUAAUCUUCACCAUUAUAACAAAUCAACUGUUGUCAUUUUUCCGUCUUCCCUUCUAGCAUGUAUUCAUAGGCAUAUAUAAUUUAUGUGUAGUUACUACCAUAGAAUAAAUAUGGUUUUUUAAUUGCUAAAAAUCAUAGAAGGGCAUAAUUUUUAUAAAAAUGUCUUUUCCUCCAUAAUCUCUAACUCCCUGUGGGAAAUCACUGUUAACUUUUUAAAAAUAUAAAUUAGAUAUAUUUCUAGAUACAUAUUUAUACCCACUACUUUUUUUUAUUUAGGAAAGGCCACGAGCUCAUGCCCGCAUAAUUAUCCUUUUAGUUACUAUUUCAGAAUUUCUUAACCCCUUGUCCAUUGAUUAGUCCACUAAUUCUAGUUUUUUACUUUAUUCAGCAAUACUGCAACGAAUGGUUAUUGUACUUCUGUGGUCUUUUUUUCCUUUUGGAUUAUUUACUGUGGAUAAAGUCCCAAGUGUGGUAUCAUUAUGUUACAGGCUAUAUACAUUUUUAUCACUUUUAAACAUAUUGCUAGCUUACUUUCCAAAAUGGCUGUACUAAAUCCCAAGGCCAUCAAUGAUAUAUUCUGUCAGUUUCAUUAAAUUCUGGCCAGCACAUGAAUAUUGUCAUGAUUUAAAAUGUUUGCUAUGUUAAUAGUUCUAAAUGAUACCUUAUUUUUAAUUACAUUUUAUGAUAGCUAAUGCCGUUGGGUAUUUUUUCCCAAAUAUAUCUGCUAAUUGUAUCUUCUUCGUCUGUAAAUUUUUUGACUAUAUCCUUUAGCCAUGAUCUAUUGGAAUUUUGACAGCACUGAAAAUAAAAGUUGAACCAAGAAUGUAUUAUCAUAUGUACACACACACACACACACAGUUUUAUGAAAAAACUGGCUGCAUUUUCACCAAAACCAUAUCCUCUCUUCCUGGAUACACAUUUCCAGGCUCCUUUGCAGUUAGGCGUGGUCAGAUUACUGAGUUUUCGCCAGUGAAUUCUGAGAGCUGAUUUUAAACUUUACAUUUUCAUUGUGUCUGACCCAUUCACAUUUUGGGAGUUAUUUUUUACAGUAGCCAGCAUUACUUAAACAAAUGUGCAGCUGUAAUCUAAUUAUGUUUCCAAAAAGAAUAAAAACUGUAAUCAUUUACAAAACAUAGAAUAUUUUUAAGAUAUUAAAUUUUAUAUUUCACAAAUAGUUCUUUAAAUGUCAUCCUGGAAACUGAGUCAUAAAAACAUCAAAGAACUUCAAACUGGGAUCCUAGAAGUUGCAUAAUCCAACUUUCUUAUCUCACAAAAGAAAGAAACUAACUCCCAAAGAUUAAGUAAUUUUAAUUGAAUGAUUUAAUUUAAUUAUUUAAAUGUGAUUUGUACAUCUGAGAAAAUGGAAUUGAGUUAGUAAUACAACAAAGCAUGCCUAAGCACCUUACAUAUUACCAAGGACCUUUAGGCUACUAGACAAAAAGGCUGUAUAAAGGCGUUAUAACCUAAGUUAUAAUUUAUGUAUAACCUAAAUUAUUAACAGUCAUAAUUUACAUAUAAAAAGCCUAAAAUUCAAAAUAGUCAUUUUACAUUCUUCACAGAAUUAGAAGAAACUAUUUUAAAAUUUAAGUGGAACCAAAAAAGAGCCUGAACAGCAAAGACAGUCCUAAGCAAAAAGAACGAAGCUGACGGCAUCACACUAUCCCACUUCAAACUAUACUACAAAGCUCCUGUGACCAAAACAGCAUGGUACUGGUACGAAAAGAGACACAUAGACCAAUGGAACAUAAUAGAGAUCUCAGAAAUAAAACCACACAUCUACAACCAGCUGAUUGUCAACAAACCUGACCAAAACAAGCAAUGGGGAAAGGAUUCCCUAUUUAAUAAAUGGUGCUGGGAGAACUGGCUAGCCACAUGCAGAAAACUGAAAUUGGUCUCUUUUCUUACACCUUAUACAAAAAUUAACUCAAGAUGGUUUAAAGACUUGAAUGUAAACCCCAAAACCAUAAAAGACCUAGAAGAAAAUCUAGGCAAUACCAUUCAGGACAUAGGCAUGGGCAAAGACUUCAUGACAAAAACACCAAAGGCAAUGGCAACAAAAGCAAAAAUUGACAAAUGGGAUCUAAUUAAGGAGCUUCUGCACAGCAAAAGAAACUAUCAUCAGAGUGGACAGACAACCUACAGAAUGGGAGAAAAUUUUUGCAAUCUAUCCAUCUGACUAACAUCUAAUAUCCAGAGUCUAUAGGAACUUAAACAAAUUUACUAGAACAAAAACUACCCCAUUAAAAAGUGAACAAAAGACAUGAACAGAUACUCCUGAAAAGAAGACAUUUAUGCGGCCAAAAAACAUAUUAAAAAAACUCAACAUCGUUGGUCAUUGGAGAAAUGCAAAUCAAAACCACAAUGAGAUACCAUCUCAUGCCAGUGAGAAUGGUGAUUAUUAAAAAGUCCAGAAACAAGAGAUGCUGGCAAAGUUGCGGAGAAAAAGAAAUGCUUUUACAGUGUUGGUGGGAGUGUAAAUUAGUUCAACCACUGUGGAAGGCAGUGUAGCGAUUCCUCAAAUAUCUAGGGACAGAAAUACCAUUUGACCCAGCAAUCCCAUUACUGGGUAUAUACCCAAAGGAAUACAAAUCAUUCUAUUAUAAAGAUACAUGGCUGCGUAUCUUAAUUGCAACACUAUUCACAAUAGCAAAGACAUGGAAUCAACCCAAACACCCAUCGAUGAUAGAUGGGAUAAAGAAAAUAUGGUACAUAUACACCAUGAAAUACUGUGCAGCCAUAAAAAGGAACAAGAUCAUGUCCUUUGCAAGGAUGUGGAUGGAGCUGGAAGCCGUUAUCCUCAGCAAACUAACACAGGAACAGAAAACCAAACACUGUAUGUUCUCACUUAUAAGUGGGAGCUGAACCUUGAGAAUGGACACAUGGACUCACGGUGGGGAACAACUCACAUUCACUGGGUGGUGAGGAAGAGAGAGGAUCAGGAAGAAUAGCUAAUGGAUGCUGGACUUAAUAUCCAGGUGAUAGGUUGAUCUGUACAGCAAACCACCAUGGCACAUGUUUACCUAUGUAACAAACCUGCACAUCCUUCACAUGUACCCUGGAACUUAAAAUAAAUUUGAAGGAAAAAAAGAAAAUAAAUAAAUUUUUAAAACCCAAAA